rnacentral:rRNA from 1 species
AUUGAACGCUGGCGGCAUGCCUUACACAUGCAGGUCGAACGGCAGCACGGGAGCAAUCCUGGUGGCGAGUGGCGAACGGGUGAGUAAUACAUCGGAACGUGCCCAAUCGUGGGGGAUAACGCAGCGAAAGCUGUGCUAAUACCGCAUACGAUCUACGGAUGAAAGCAGGGGACCGCAAGGCCUUGCGCGAAUGGAGCGGCCGAUGGCAGAUUAGGUAGUUGGUGGGGUAAAGGCUCACCAAGCCAACGAUCUGUAGCUGGUCUGAGAGGACGACCAGCCACACUGGGACUGAGACACGGCCCAGACUCCUACGGGAGGCAGCAGUGGGGAAUUUUGGACAAUGGGCGCAAGCCUGAUCCAGCCAUGCCGCGUGCAGGAUGAAGGCCUUCGGGUUGUAAACUGCUUUUGUACGGAACGAAACGGCCUUUUCUAAUAAAGAGGGCUAAUGACGGUACCGUAAGAAUAAGCACCGGCUAACUACGUG